CUUAACCGAAAGUUCGCAAUGAAAACUGGUAGGCUUGAGAGUGGAAGAGAGAAGUGGAAUUCUCGGAGUAGCGGUAAAAUGCGUAGAUCUCGAGAGGAACACCGAUGGCGAAAGCAGCUUCUUGGUUCACUUCUGACGUUGAGGCACGAAAGCGUGGGGAGCAAACAGGAUUAGAUACCCUGGUAGUCCACGCUGUAAACGAUGAUCACUAGAUGUCAGCUUUGCUUUGCAAGGUUGGUAUCGAAGCUAACGCGUUAAGUGAUCCACCUGGGAACUACGGUCGCAAGAUUAAAACUCAAAGGAAUUGACGGGGGUCCGCACAAGCGGUGGAACAUGUGGUUUAAUUCGACACUACGCGAGGAACCUUACCUGGGCUUGACAUGUUUUUGAUAGCUGUAGAAAUACAGUUUUUUGGAUUUCGGUUCAAACAG
rnacentral:rRNA from 1 species